ACGGAAGGCAGCAGUGGGGAAUAUUGCGCAAUGGGCGAAAGCCUGACGCAGCGACGCCGCGUGAGGGAAGAAGGUCUUCGGAUCGUAAACCUCUGUCAGAAGGGAAGAAAGCCUAACGGGCCAAUCACCGUUGGGGCGACGGUACCUUCAAAGGAAGCACCGGCUAACUCCGUGCCAGCAGCCGCGGUAAUACGGAGGGUGCAAGCGUUAAUCGGAAUUACUGGGCGUAAAGCGCAUGUAGGCUGUACGGCAAGUUGGAGGUGAAAUCCCACGGCCCAACCGUGGAACUGCCUUCAAAACUACCGAACUGGAGUAUGCGAGAGGAUGGCGGAAUUCCAGGUGUAGGAGUGAAAUCCGUAGAUAUCUGGAAGAACAUCAGUGGCGAAGGCGGCCAUCUGGCGCACAACUGACGCUGAGAUGCGAAAGCGUGGGUAGCAAACAGGAUUAGAUACCCUGGUA
rnacentral:rRNA from 1 species